AUCAGCCCCUCCGGCACCCGGUUGGGAUCUACAGCCCGGAGCAUCCGAUUGGUUAGAGCCUGGCUAACGCUCUGGAAAAAAAGAGAAACGUAAUUUUUUUUUACUGUAACCGGAAUACGAGGCGUGUAGGAAUCGACAGCUUUCGACAGUAAACAAAAACAAACAAACAGCCUGUGCUUAAUGUGCCUGGAGACGCCGUCACGUGUCAUCUGUGACGCGUCAAUCAAGAGCCGACGCGUCAACGCCGCACGACCAGGAGGGACGACGCCGCCUCGUCCAGUCGGCACUCGAGCAGCUUUGAAUAGAUGUUUAUGCCAUGAUUAUAAUUCACCCACCUCCUGAGCAGCACUUUACGGCCCCGGAAUCCCAGAGGAAGAAAAGCGUCGGUGUCACGACGGUCAGGAGGCGUUUCAGUCAAACGAAGAAACAAAAAGAACCGCGUCAGCGCUUUCUGCCGGGGAGCGAGAGGCCGUUAGCCUCCCUCUCAGGAGGGGAGACGGGCGUUUAAUGGGACUACUCUUCCACUCCAUUUGGCGGCGGCGGCGGCGCGUCGCACGGGCCACAGCUGCAUUGUUGAGCCAGCGACUGUCACUCUGCAUACCUCUCUGCGGCCCGCCAGCCUCCACGCCGCCUUCGGCAGCUGACACAAGUCGUUCAUCUUCAGACGCACGCAGACAGACUGCAGACCGAUCGUGCACGGAGGACGCUCGCUGCCUUAAAAAGAACUUAUCUUUCCAACUCCUGGUGCAGGCAACUGCGAAAAAGAUCAUUCAAACUGAUUGGGACUGAUAAUAUGCUAGAGGAACAUCAAGUGUGUCCCAAUGCAUAUUAAGUGAAAUGCAAUAUCUAAUACCAGAUCGUCCCACUGCAUUUGGUUUCAUUUUGAAGUACACAAACCGCUAUUCAGUAUAUUAUAAGGUGAUGCAGGAAUGGCAGUGACAUCGUCUGGGACAAACUCGAAAAAGGUUGCAACAGAGCCAAACAACAAUUUCAUGGCUGGCCAGUCAGAGAGUAAUUACAUACGGCCCCCGAGCCGGCACAUCGAUCAGUACUCGGGACUUAAAAAGAAGACUUUUUCCUGACAGACAGCUUCUUGAAGAGAUGACAGCACCUCCACCGCACACAUUGUGAAAAUCCACAAUGAAAAUGUACGAGGGCAACAUCUUUUUUCUGAUGAGAUUUAUCUACAUAAAUGAGUUAUUCUGCAGAACGAAGUCCCCCAGAAAGAUGCAGCACUGUUAAGUAGGUUUAGAGAAGGUCAAUUUAUUAGGUCAAUUAUUUUCUCUUGCUCCUCUAUUAAUUGGGUAAAAUCGUAAAUAAAAGAAUGUCUUGCCCAUCACGUCUUUUCUUUGAUGACCUCGAGUAAGUUGAAGAAAAGAGGAGACAUUAAAAAGGGCAGAACCAAGAGCGAGGACGCACUCAUUUUGUCUUUUUUGCAACCAAAAGUGACACACAAACACUGAAUAAGACAUUUUCAGGCAUGUAUUCACAUGAAGUGAAAACUGUGUGUGAAAUGGUUGAGGUUGUACGUCAUGUUGACCUGUCAACCACUGUGUCGCCGCGCCCUAAAGCGUAG
ensembl:lncRNA